UUUUUUUUUUAAAAUUAAAAUUUUUUUUUUUUUAAACUAUGGUUUUGGUAGAGAGAAAAAUAUAGUAAAAGCAACAAUCUUACCGUACAUGUGAAUGCAAAAAUUACGAGUUGGAAAUGAAAUUACUGUCCAUUGAUAAUAUUGGAAAUAUUGAAGAAAACAUUAAUAUUGUUCGUGUGUGGUUUGAAAGUCUGUUCUAGUUUGAUCCUUCGGGUUGUCACAAUAGUGCAUAGGUAACUAAUUGUAUCUGUUUCCGUAAGAAUUGUAUGAAUCGUCAUGGAUUGUUUUGAAAUUCGGGCUCACUGAAUUGAGGUUCUGUAGUCGCUAUUCUCAAGUGGCGAUUGACCUGUAUGGUAUCGUUCCUAACAUCACAUAGGUAGAUUUUUACGAAUUGGCUUAGGGUACUGUUUGUCUCCUCAUGGUUGAUAAAUUUCUGUCUACACCUGGUAAGGUCGUUUUCUUUGUUGUAAUAAAGAAGGUUUUGGUC
rnacentral:lncRNA from 1 species